rnacentral:rRNA from 1 species
UACGUAGGGCGCAAGCGUUGUCCGGAAUUAUUGGGCGUAAAGAGCUCGUAGGCGGCUUGUCGCGUCGGAUGUGAAAGCUCGGGGCUUAACCCCGGGUCUGCAUUCGAUACGGGCAGGCUAGGGUGUGGUAGGGGAGAUCGGAAUUCCUGGUGUAGCGGUGAAAUGCGCAGAUAUCAGGAGGAACACCGGUGGCGAAGGCGGAUCUCUGGGCCAUUACUGACGCUGAGGAGCGAAAGCGUGGGGAGCGAACAGG